CGGGACGGGGUGGAGUAAUGUCUGGGAAACGUGCCUGAUGGAGGGGGGUAACUACUGGAAACGGUAGCUAAUACCGCAUAACGUCGCAAGACCAAAGAGGGGGACCGUUCGGGCCUCUUGCCAUCGGAUGUGCCCAGAUGGGAUUAGCUAGUAGGUGGGGUAACGGCUCACCUAGGCGACGAUCCCUAGCUGGUCUGAGAGGAUGCCAGCCACACUGGAACUGAGACACGGUCCAG
rnacentral:rRNA from 1 species